GACGAACGCUGGCGGCGUGCCUAAUACAUGCAAGUAGAACGAGUUGCGAACGGGUGAGUAAUGUCUGGGAAACUGCCCGAUGGAGGGGGAUAACUACUGGAAACGGUAUCUAAUACCGCAUACCAUCGGAUGUGCCCAGAUGGGAUGAGUUAGUAGGGGGGGUAACGGCUCACCUAGGCGACGAUCCCUAUCUGGUCUGAGAGGAUGACCAGCCACACUGGAACUGAGACACGGUCCAGACUCCUACGGGAGGAAGCAGUGGGGAAUAUUGCACAAUGGGCGCAAGCCUGAUGCAGCCAUGCCGCGUGUAUGAAGAAGGCCUUCGGGUUGUAAAGUACUUUCAGCGAGGAGGCGUUACUCGCAGAAGAAGCACCGGCUAACUCCGUGCCAGCAGCCGCGGUAAUAC
rnacentral:rRNA from 1 species